CAGGGCUGCGAGCGGAUCCUCGGCAGAGGGGGACAAGCGGGGGCGUAGGCAGCUGCGGGGGACGUGGCGGCCGAGGUCCGCAGAACUACCGCUGGGGUGGGGGAGUGGCCUGUGGGACUGCGGGCGGGAAGGGCGGGGAAGUGCCUGCGAGUGGAUCGCCUUGUCUGGGAAAGGGGCGGGGACUGUAUGGUGGCGCCCGAGGCCUGAGAACAGGAGAGGGUUUGUUUGGGCGAGGCGGCGGGGGCGGGGCCGGGGAAAAAACGGUUACGGGGGUGGGGCCGGGCCUGCGUGGUGGAACUCGGAACCUGGGAAAGGGCGGGCUCGGCGGCCGAGGCCGGGGGGCGUGGUCUGCGCGGCGUUUAAGUAGCAUCUGGCGGCUGGGGCGGCUUGCGGUUGCCUGGCGCCUGAGAGCUAGGGAAAGCGGAUGACGUCAGGCAGAAAAGUGGAAUCCGAGCCUUAGGGCUGUGGGCGGGCGGGAGGGAACCGGAGCCUGCGUGGUGGAGGGAGCUGGCGCCUGGGAACGAGGCUUGUGACGUGGGCCGAGGGGCGUGUCCUGAGGCCGAGGAAAGACUGCAGAGGGGAGGUGGUGCCUGUGAAGCAGAAAAUGGCGCCUGCGAAUGAGCAAAGUUUGUGACGCGGCGAGGUUUUUGCCUCUGGCCGAGGCCUUCUUCCCAGGACGGGAGAAAGUGCAGGGAAUACAUACCGAGAUUUUUACGGAUAAAGAACCGUCUUGUAAGCCGCUUACUCGCAAAUGGUUGGAAAAAAUAGCGUACAUAAAAAUACGAUGGCAGUUCUGUCAUGACUGCCAUCUGGGCUGACGGAUCAUGAGACCUCCCAAUUUCAGAGAUGUUAAACAUUUUUAAAGUGUCCUUGAACCCGAAGAAAUCUGGUAGUCUUAUUCUGUGAAAAUUGGUAUAAACGUCAGGCUCCUGUGAAGACUAGAAAUUCAGGUAGGAGGGAUUUUGCUCACCUCUGCAGUGUGAUUUUUUUUUUAAUUGCUGUAUAGUUGAUACACAAUGUUACAUUAGUUCCAGGUGUAUGCUACAGAGUGGUUUUAAUGUUAAUUUUCCUUAAAAAUCUGCUCUUCAUUCAAGGAUGAGCAGUGCCUCCCCUUGCAAGGAAAAGCUUUAGGGAAGAUGUUAAGGUCAUAGACCUGCCAGCGGAGGCAUUGAAAGCCACAGCAGGGAGGGGUGGGGGGUCAGUGAUGGGGUGUUCCAGAAGAGUGAUGGGAGGUUUGUGGCAUGCGCCACUGGGGCAGGGAGGGCGUGUGUUCCUGGUAUGAGUGAUGUGCAGGGGGUUCAGUGCAGCAAAAACAAACAACAGAACCUCACCAAAAUGUGUGCCUGUGUGGGUGACGCAUGACUGUUGCAAGGUUUUCUAGCUCUCCAUCCCUCCACCUCCCUCAUCCUUUUAUGAACACAGGAAAAGUUAACAUUUUAAAGAAUCCCACUGAAAGGGUUAAAUUGCUAGAACACUAAUCACUACAGCGUGAGAGUAAUAUUUUUAAAAAUUGUUUAUUUGAGGCGGUUAACUUUGGGACAGCCUCUUAUAUGUCACAAAUCCCAUAGCAGAGCAGGUGUGUGACUGAGUGUGGACAGGGGUUGUGUGUCUGCGAGCUUUGAGGUCCAAGCCCUGGGACUGAAUCAGUAACGGCUAACAUUCAUUUAGCAUUUUUUUUAAAGAUUUUAUUUAUUUAUAUGACAGAUAGAGAUCACAAGUAGGCUGAGAGGCAGGC